CCCCUGAAUAGCAAAGAGGGGACACUCUCGCCAGAGAGGCGAGGGCCGGAGUGAGGUCAGCUUCGGCAAAUUAUCAACUCGGAUGCACAGACCACAUCCAAGACCU
ncrna:unclassified sequences engA RNA